AGAACGAACGCUGGCGGCAGGCCUAAUACAUGCAAGUCGAACGCACUCUUCGGAGUGAGUGGCAGACGGGUGAGUAACGCGUGGGAACCUUCCCAAUGGUACGGAAUAACUCCGGGAAACCGGUGCUAAUACCGUAUAAGCCCCUCGGGGGAAAGAUUUAUCGCCAUUGGAUGGGCCCGCGUCGGAUUAGCUAGUUGGUAAGGUAAUGGCUUACCAAGGCUACGAUCCGUAGCUGGUCUGAGAGGAUGAUCAGCCACACUGGGACUGAGACACGGCCCAGACUCCUACGGGAGGCAGCAGUAGGGAAUCUUGGACAAUGGCGAAAGCCUGAUCCAGCCAUGCCGCGUGAGUGAAGAAGGCCUUAGGGUUGUAAAGCUCGUUUUUGGCGGGGUACGAUAAUGACGGUACCCGCAGAAUAAGCCCGGCUAACUCGUGCCAGCAGCCGC
rnacentral:rRNA from 1 species